AUAAAGAAGAGUUUUCAUGUAUCUCCAUAAGAGUUUUUGUUAAAUAGAUUGGUUGUAUAACUAAAAUGAUGAGACUCGACGAGUUAUCGAUCGUAAACUCAGUUCAGUUUCGAUGAGGUGAUAGAAGAAUUGAAUCACCCGGUAACUACUGUGGAUCGAGAUUUAUGAUGAGAAUCAUUCACUUGUAUAACUAAAAUGAUGCUUAAAGCGUAUAGUGUUAUUUCUCGCUACCAAGUAGAAAUGAAUCUAAAUUGUUACACAAAAUAGACUGAUGUGCGACUUAAAAAUAUAAAAGGACUAAUUUGUUGAAAGGGUU
rnacentral:lncRNA from 1 species